rnacentral:rRNA from 1 species
ACCUUCGGGCCUCUUGCCAUCGGAUGUGCCCAGAUGGGAUUAGCUAGUAGGUGGGGUAAAGGCUCACCUAGGCGACGAUCCCUAGCUGGUCUGAGAGGAUGACCAGCCACACUGGAACUGAGACACGGUCCAGACUCCUACGGGAGGCAGCAGUGGGGAAUAUUGCACAAUGGGCGCAAGCCUGAUGCAGCCAUGCCGCGUGUAUGAAGAAGGCCUUCGGGUUGUAAAGUACUUUCAGCGGGGAGGAAGGGAGUAAAGUUAAUAGCUUUGCUCAUUGACGUUACCCGCAGAAGAAGCACCGGCUAACUCCGUGCCAGCAG